rnacentral:tRNA from 1 species
AGCUUAGUUGGUAAAGGAUCUGCCUGCAAUGCAGGAGACCCUGGUUUGAUUCCUGG